GACUACUGGCAGGAUCAACCAGGUAGCAUUCAUCACCGACGUCAGCCCGACUCCAAACCGAGCCGCGGGGGCACGGCAGGAGACCGAACCAACGGUCGUUCGCACGAAGCGUAGAACGCUUUUUUUGUGGUGCUCCGAGGCCGAGGCCCCGUACCCACAUGAUGUUCCGUACUCGAGAGACCGAGCGACCCGUCGUGGCUCGUCGGCCCGAACGCCGUUUCACGGGCGAACGGGGCGUGAGACACGACGUGCGCUGUUUGGCCCACCCCGCACCGCAGGCCCUUUCGGGAGCAGCGGCACGGGACGGGAGUGGGACGAUGGAAACCGAUAGAAUGCCCUUGCGAUAGGUAUGCAGCACAGGAAAACCGACGUCGGACGAGCACUUACUCGYGCCAACAACUGAAGAGACGCGGACGGGAUGCCGUCGCUGCCUGAGCAGGGAUCCGACAUGCCGUUGCGCGCCAAUCACCACUC
rnacentral:misc_RNA from 1 species